rnacentral:rRNA from 1 species
UACAGAGGAUGCAAGCGUUAUCCGGAAUGAUUGGGCGUAAAGCGUCUGUAGGUGGCUUUUUAAGUCCGCCGUCAAAUCCCAGGGCUCAACUCUGGACAGGCGGUGGAAACUACCAAGCUGGAGUACGGUAGGGGCAGAGGGAAUUCCGGUGGAGCGGUGAAAUGCGUAGAUAUGCGGAGGAACACCGAUGGCGAAGGCAAUCCCCUGGGCCUGCACUGACGCUCAUGCACGAAAGCGUGGGGAGCAAACAGG